rnacentral:rRNA from 1 species
CCUACGGGUGGCAGCAGUGGGGAAUAUUGCACAAUGGGGGAAACCCUGAUGCAGCGACGCCGCGUGAGCGAUGAAGUAUUUCGGUAUGUAAAGCUCUAUCAGCAGGGAAGAAAAUGACGGUACCUGACUAAGAAGCUACGGCUAACUACGUGCCAGCAGCCGCGGCAAUACGUAGGGGGCAAGCGUUAUCCGGAUUUACUGGGUGUAAAGGGAGCGUAGACGGCUGUGCAAGCCAGUUGUGAAAGCCCGGGGCUCAACCCCGGGACUGCAUUUGGAACUGUGUGGCUGGAGUGUCGGAGAGGCAGGCGGAAUGCGUAGUGUAGCGGUGAAAUGCUUAGAUAUUAGGAGGAACACCAGUGGCGAAGGCGGCCUGCUGGACGAUGACUGACGUUGAGGCUCGAAAGCGUGGGGAGCAAACAGGAUUAGAUACCCCUGUAGUC